rnacentral:rRNA from 1 species
AACGAACGCUGGCGGCAUGCCUAACACAUGCAAGUCGAACGAGACCUUCGGGUCUAGUGGCGCACGGGUGCGUAACGCGUGGGAACCUGCCUUUAGGUUCGGAAUAACUCAGAGAAAUUUGAGCUAAUACCGGAUGAUGUCUUCGGACCAAAGAUUUAUCGCCUUUAGAUGGGCCCGCGUUGGAUUAGCUAGUUGGUGGGGUAAAGGCCUACCAAGGCGACGAUCCAUAGCUGGUCUGAGAGGAUGAUCAGCCACACUGGGACUGAGACACGGCCCAGACUCCUACGGGAGGCAGCAGUGGGGAAUAUUGGACAAUGGGCGAAAGCCUGAUCCAGCAAUGCCGCGUGAGUGAUGAAGACCUUAGGGUUGUAAAGCUCUUUUACCCGAGAUGAUAAUGACAGUAUCGGGAGAAUAAGCUCCGGCUAACUCCGUG